UACGUAGGGGGCUAGCGUUGUCCGGAUUUAUUGGGUUUAAAGGGUGCGUAGGCGGCCCUGUAAGUCAGUGCUGAAAUAUCCCGGCUUAACCGGGAGGGUGGCAUUGAUACUGCGGGGCUAGAGUACAGAUGAGGUAGGCGGAAUUGACGGUGUAGCGGUGAAAUGCGCAGAUAUCAGGAAGAACACCAAUGGCGAAAGCAGCUCUCUGGGACGGUACUGACGCUGAGACGCGAAAGCGUGGGGAGCGAACAGG
rnacentral:rRNA from 1 species